rnacentral:rRNA from 1 species
CCGGUCCCAUUCCGAACCCGGAAGCUAAGCCUGUCUGCGCCGAUGGUACUGCACCCGACAGGGUGUGGGAGAGUAGGACACCGCCGAAC